AUCCAAAGUGUUUAGUUCAGUUCAGGGCAGCUCCCCUCUCUGUUCAUUACACUAGGGGACAUUGGAACACGGGCCAGGGGAAAUGCUUGGAUAGAAAGCAAUACUCUAUUCCUUUACUUUCCCAUCUGCAAAA